ensembl:lncRNA
CAUGAAGUGAAUUUUAAGAGAAAGUGGGGCAUGCAGCAAGACAAUGACCUUAAGCACACAAGCCAUUCUACUAAAGUAUGAUUAAAGACGAAUAAAGUUAAUGUUUUGGAAUGGCCAAGUCAAAGUCCUGACCUUAAUUCAAUAGAAAUGUUGUGUAAGGACCUGAAGCAAGCAGUUCAUGUGAGGAAUCUGUUGGCUCGAAUUUAGCCUAUUACCCAAAAACAUUUAAAACUCAACUUAGAAGCCAAUACUCACAUCUACCUCUGAGCCCAGUUGGAGAUAGAAAAAAUACACCAGCCGUGAGUGAGAAGAAGCAAGGGUCCAGCUUUAUUGUUCCAUUCCACCACACGAGAUCCACACCAAUGAGAAUUCUCAGAAGUGAUCCCAAUAUCCUGAGCUUAGGCUCCAGUAUUUAUACUGUAUUUACACACUAGAUAACCCAUAGGUUUCCAGAAAAGGCCUAUUUCACUUACCCAUAGAAUUGAAACCAGGGGUUUUAAUUUACACAUAAAAUCAGAACCCAGGCAUUUCCAAAAACCCAGGAAACAAAAACCCAGAGUUUCUAGUUACCUAGGUUGUCAAAAACCAGGAUUCUCAUUUACCUAGGUAGUCAAAAACCAGGACUUUCAUUUACCUAGGUAGUCAAAAACCAGGACUUUCAUUUACCUAGGUAGCCAGAAACCAGGAUUCUCAAUUCCCUAGGUAAAAAAAAUGACGUAGACAAGACGACUAAACAACCGGGAGGGACCUUGGUCUUAUCGUUAUCUCGAGGGGGGGGCAGCCACCCUUAUAACUGGCUUUCUUCAUGGUUCUCUAAAAAUUAAGGCUUUCCUUGCGAGACGAGAAUCUUCACCAUCUGAAUCAUGAGUAAGUUAUAUUUUCCUGUUUUUUCCUGUAUUUCUCGUUUAUAAUUUAUUUUCAUAUUUGCACUAUAUUUCUUAGUUUAUAUAUAUUUAUACUACUUGAAAAGCGAUUUACUGUACUUCCAACUUCUUAAUAUCAUUACAGUUCUACUGUCCUGCAUAUCUUACUAUUCUGUUUUUUAUAGAGUUUCUCUAUUACUAUAAGAUUUUAUUAAAGUUAUUCAUGUGUGUGUAUGAGGAAGAGAGUGUGUGUGUAUGUAUGUUGUGUCUACUUGCCCGCCCUUGACUGUACGAGUGUGUGUGUGUGUGUGUGUUUUUAGCACUCCUCAGCUCGUACACUUCUUUCGACUAAUAACCCAUAAAGAUCUUUAAAGUGUUUUACCAAUUUAUCCACUUCUGACUAAAACCGCUUCUGUAUGUCUAGGUGCCGGUGCCCGUCGUCAGUCCCUUCUCUCACCGUUACUGGACCUGGAUCUGGAUCUGGACCUCCCUUAUGUUUAUUUUAUGACAUUUUUUAUCCACAACAUAUCCUACCAACAUCCCAAAGUUGAAGUUGUUCUGUACUGAGGAAUAGGCUAAAAUUCCUCCAAGC